GUGAGGAUGCCCUCACCGGGUACGUGAACACGUGGUCCCCGUGCGGGGGAAGCCGGACCGAAGCCGGCGCUGACCCGCAACCGUGGGUCGUCCUGCGGGACGGCGAGCCGGAACGCCUGCCGGGGGCGACACCCCAUC
rnacentral:ncRNA from 2 species